AACUUUGAUGAAAAAUAAGGUGAUGAUGGAUAAACCACAUAACUCAAAAUUUGAAAUAAGGUUAUGUAGGUCUUGAAGUUAAAGUGUGAAUCUUAAUUUGUGAGACUGAGUUGGAGUGUGACAUGGAUUCAUAUGCAGGAACAUUCUAAAACCAGUGUGUGACAUGCAUUCUUGUGCAUUCCAAGCAACAUUCUAAAGAAAAAACCGAUCAGACGAGCACCAGAUAAUCAUAUUCUGUAUAUUCUGUGUUUGGUUUGAAUAGACAAUACAAACAUUUCAAGAAGAAACACAUCAAAUCAAUCAGAACCAAAACAUAGGUAAAAUCUCAACAAUUACUUGGGUUCAAAAGGCUUGCUAUAAAACCAUGUCAAAUAUUCACUUAGCACUUCACAAUCACUUCUUAAAAUAACAAACUGAGUAGUGAUAUCAAAAUACUCACUAAUGUAUUCUUUCUAACAUACACUCUUAUUGACCAAAAUUCAAAUGGACCUUGCUAACUCAAAUCCCCACAGAUUUAUUGAGACAUGUGAUCUUUAACAGAUAAAAGUGAUAAAAAAGUGUUUCCCUAACAAUCUUUUUCCCUAAUUCUUUAUAUGCACACUAUGUGAACUAGCAAGGCUGCAGUAUUUUAUUUAGACAACUUAGAUAUUUCCCUAACAACGAUACACCAUAACUGUUUGUUUUAAUUUAAAAAGGUAUCAACAGGAAAACGUAGCAAAUUUCUACAACUCAAACUCUGUGAUCAUCUAUCCUAUCUUCACCUCAGUCUUCAUCUAAUGCCCAAAACAUCGACGGGGUCAACAGGACCACAUGAUCACUUCAGAAACAAAUGAGAAACUUGAUAAUUGCCUGUACCAAGAUACAAGAACUUGGUGCUCAUAACACCAUGUCAGCUAAAAAAUUUAAUUAGAUGUAAAAUGUUAAACCGCCACCAAAGUCUGACAUUUAUCAUGCCAGAGACAAAAUUUCGUUUGAAGUCUUUUACCUGUCACACUAAUUGGUUAAAAACCAAAUCUCUUAUACCAACCCGGAAUGCCUAAAUACAAAGCAAGGCACAAUUACCUUCGGGAUGAGAUGUUUGAUUAAAGGCAUCAAUUAGGCAGCUUCAGCACUAAGCAAUUAAGAGAAUUAGUCCUCAAACAAAAAGAUUUAAUCUCAUCACCAAAACAAUAAGUUAGAAUCAGUUCUGAAUGAACAAAAUCAACUGAAAGUAACAAUAGAACUAUAGAAGAUCAUAAACAAAAAACACCAGGUACCCAGCUGCCAUAAAGUUCAAACAAGCUUUCAAAACAAACAUUAGCAACCAGACAUUACGGUGUGAAUCAACAAAAUACCACAGAAAAUAAUGCAGAAAGUAUUAUGUCCUACACAACAGAAAAUAUUAAUAAUCAUCAUAACAAAAAUAAACUUUUGAUGUUGCAUCCAGCUAUAUGAAGAUUGCUUCUCAACUUCCAGCCCGAAUUCUCUGCAAAUUUCAUAACAGUACAGCAAGGUUAAAGAAGUGAGUCCCAAACUUCCAAGAAAGACAUGGCAAGAGGUUAAGAAAUCAGGUUCACAAGUGCUCCAAGAAACAUCAGGCCUGUCACAACGUUAGAUCGCAACAAUGAAGAGUUAAGAGAGGUAAAAUCAUGAUAAAAUAUAAAGUAUACAUACAG
rnacentral:lncRNA from 1 species